UCUUAUCCAGCACAGGGCUUGCCUUCUGGAGUGCUGUGAGUCAUAACAAGUUCCUGUACUGGGAAAGUGGAAUUCCCUUCUUUGGUGUCAACAGAAAGUUUGGCAAGAGACAGAUCAUGAGAGGAAAUCUUCUGCAAGCAGUGGCACAAACAAAUUUGCAAAGAGAACUUCAAGGGGAAAAAAUGAAAUUUCAGGAAAGGAAAAAUCAUUAUCAAGAGCAGGUUCUUCCUCCUCUCUUCAUUGUAACUGGAAAUAGGCCAUCUUUAUUAAUCACUAUGUGAAUGUGAUUUCUGUAAAUGGGGAUCAGGAAACAUAUCAUUGUGAUCAUCAUCAUUACAAAAGGUUUAUUUAUCUAUUUCAUCUACAACAUAUAUAGAUUUAUUGGUAUAAAAACAGAUACAGUGCACAUUUCUUAUUCAUUGUUCCUUAACCAAUACAUGCCUACCGGUCAUCUUUUCAAGUGUCUGUAGAAUGUACAACUUCUACAGCCAGUAUUUCAUAAGUAGCAUGAUUUAUGGCAUUUGAAAUGUUUUCAUUUCAAGGCUUUUCCGUAAAUCAGGUCUUUGCAAAGUCAAGAAAUGUCAUCUUCUUUAUCUCUUAACUCAGGUUCUGUCUGACAUUAGUAAAAGAAACAUUGGACAUUCUACUAGAGUGGUGAUGUGAAAAUGGUAUAGCAAACAGAUGGCAUAAAAAGGGUAGGACCCGAGUGUAAUAUAA